GAGCAGAAAAGCUCAUGUUAUUGUGAGAAAUCUCUAUAAGAGGUUUUUUAUGUCUUCUGGGCUAUUUAAAGCCGUCAGUCUGAAACUUAUUUGACAGUUUCUUUUAUACUAACCAAUGCUUUCUUAUUUCUUCUUUAAAUCUGCACAGAAGAGUCAACCCAUUCCUGUAAAAGGAGAAGCACUGAGAAUUGCGUGCUCAAGCUUCAACAGGAGGUAAGAAACACAUUUAACUUAUAAUGACAGUAAAAUGCAACCUCAAAUUUAUAGGGGUGUGAAAUUAAACAGUAGUUUACCAAUGUGUCUCUAAAACAAUCUUUUAUCUCUUUUGCAUUUAAUAUGCAGAGUGUAACAUUUGAAACAUGACAGAGACCUCCCAGCAGAUUAUAAUCUGGGACAGUUCAGAGUUAAAUCUGUGACAGUGCCAGCAAAAAUCUAAAGAUUCGCAAAUUUAGGAUUUGAUUUUGGACUUACACUGUGUUGUGUUUCAUACUCUUUUUGUCACAAGACACAUGUAUUUAUGUGAUACAUUUCAGUGGUUAUUUUAACUGAAUAAGACAAUUCAAAGGCUUCACAUAAGACAUUUACUGAUCAAUUAAUCAGUCAGACAAAGGAAAUGUGUAAAAACACUAAAUGAAAUGAAGUUUUAUCAUCGUUUGCUCUUAUUGGGAGUCUCUAGUCAAAAACUAGUAAAGUCAGGUAUGAUAGAUAAGAUACUCCUUUAUUAGUCCCACAAGGGGAAUUUCCCAGUAAGGGAAACAAAGACCAUUUUAAUUUACUGUGUUUGAAAUUGAAGGAAAAACAUGUUUUGUAUGAGGCCUUUCCCGGAUAAUAUGCAUUAAAAAAGCUUUGUUUUAAAAACGCUGUGUCAACUUAAAGAGAUUCAGCACUUAGGUUUUUAAUGAAUAAGUGUGAACAAAGAGGAGGUUCAUUUAUCAAUAACAACAACACAAAAACAGGGAAUAACCUUCAGGUAUUUUAAACCACUGUGAGUGUGCUGUAUUAUUUUUGAUACAUAGAGACUCUUUUUCAGUUUGACUCUGAUACUUCCUCAAAGACCAUCCAGUGUGUGUUUAUUGUAUUUUAUCGUCUGAAUAUCACCAUGGUUUGAGUCUGUGUGACUGUCAUGUGUCUCUGCAGAUAUUUCUGUUUAUGGAUUUGUUUUGUUCGUUAAAAUAACCAACCUGUGUUUCUGUGUUGACCAGUGACAGUGCGUCAGAGGCUUCUAACGCAGAAAACUGCUGCCCAACG